CUAAAAAGGUAAGAAAUCUCUCUCGAUUUGAGCCUUUUACCUAUAUUUAUGGACAUAAACUCAUGGAAAAUGCUUCUGAAAUUCUAUAAAUAUCCCUUAUUUAACCAACUAAAAUGAACAACAACACAUAAUUAAUUAACAUUUGCUCACAAAAAAAAUUAACAUUUGCUCACAUAUUGGAGAGGUUGAGGCGACAAUGUCUAUAUUAUGUCCAGGAAAGCAAGAAUGGCCAGAAUUACUAGGAAAAGAUGUUGAAUUUGCUAAAAAGGUGAUAUUGAAAGAGAAUGAAAAUGUGACUUGGGUGCUCAUUGCGAAGAAAGGAGAUUAUGUGAUUCCGGAUUAUUUUUGCUAUAGAGUUAUUCUUUGGAUUGAUGAACAUGCAAUUGUUUUCCAAGUGCCUCUAAUUGGCUAAUUAACUCCUUAUUUGAACAAUAUGAAGUGUUAUAAACCUUCAUCAAUAAAAUUAUAAUAUUAUGUUACUA